rnacentral:tRNA from 1 species
CAGAGUGUAGCUAAACAGCUCAGCGUCACACUUACACCGUGAAAAAAUCCGUGCAAAUCGGAUCAUUCUGA